AGGUGGGAGGAUCACUUGAGCCUGGGAGAUGGAGGUUGCAGUGAGCCAAGAUCACAGUACUGCACUCCAGCCUGGACAAUAGAGUGAGACCCUGUCUC
rnacentral:miRNA from 1 species